ensembl:misc_RNA 7SK 7SK RNA
GAAUUUGAGGGUGACCUGGCUGUGACAAGCCACCCCACUGAUCACCAGUGUUUUUUCAACUGAUCUUACUGGCUUGCUGGGUGUCCUCUUUCUCCUCCACAGUUCAGAGUCUGUCCUUCCCGAAGCAGAAUGCUCGGUCAAAAAGGACACCUUUUUUCCUCUUAACAUUAAAGACUUGCCAUGUUGAUUUCUGCCUAGGUUUCAGAAUCUUAGUUUAUCUGAACCUCCUAGAAUUGAAAAGUGAUACUUAAAAUUAAUCAUAGGAAUAAGAAAUCCUCUUAUUUAGCAUAACUAUUUCUAAAAGCUGGUUUCAGUCACCACAAU